rnacentral:rRNA from 1 species
GACGGAGGGGGCAAGCGUUGUCCGGAAUCACUGGGCGUAAAGCGCGUGUAGGUGGUCUCGUGCGUCGGCGCUGAAACCUGCAGGCUUAACCUGUAGACGCGUGCCGAUACGACGUGACUUGAGGCAGGGAGAGGGUAGCGGAACUCCGGGUGUAGUGGUGAAAUGCGUAGAGAUCCGGAAGAACGCCUGUAGCGAAAGCGGCUACCUGGCCCUGACCUGACACUGAGACGCGACAGCGUGGGGAGCGAACCGG